rnacentral:rRNA from 1 species
GACGAACGCUGGCGGCGUGCCUAAUACAUGCCAGUCGAGCGAAGAUUUUCUGGUGCUUGCCCUAGAAAAACUUAGCGGCGAACGGGUGAGUAACACGUAAAGAACCUGCCUCAUAGACUGGGACAACUAUUGGAAACGAUAGCUAAUACCGGAUAACAGUAUUUCUCGCAGGAGAGAGAUUUAAAAGUUGGUUAUGCUAACACUAUGAGAUGGCUUUGCGGUGUAUUAGCUAGUUGGUGGGGUAAAGGCCCACCAAGGCGACGAGGCAUAGCCGACCUGAGAGGGUGAUCGGCCACACUGGAACUGAGACACGGCCCAGACUCCUACGGGAGGCAGCAGUAGGGAAUCUUCCGCAAUGGGCGAAAGCCUGACGGAGCAACGCCGCGUGAGUGAAGAAGGCUUUCGGUUCGUAAAGCUCUGUUGUUAGGGAAGAAUGGAUGUGUAGUAACUAUACAUGUAAGAGACGGUACCUAACCAGAAAGCCACGGCUAACUACGUG